rnacentral:rRNA from 1 species
GAUGAACGCUAGCGACAGGCCUAACACAUGCAAGUCGAGGGGCAGCACGAAGUAAGCUUGCUUACUUUGGUGGCGACCGGCGCACGGGUGCGUAACAGGUGUGCAAUCUGUCCAUAAUCGGGGAAUAGCCCAGCGAAAGUUGGAUUAAUGCUCCAUGUGAGUUUUAGAGGCAUCUCUUUGAUUUGAAACGUAAGGAUUAUGGGUGAGCACGCUUCUGAUUAGGUAGUUGGUGAGGUAACGGCUCACCAAGCCGACGAUCAGUAGGGGUUCUGAGAGGAAGGUCCCCCACAUUGGAACUGAGACACGGUCCAAACUCCUACGGGAGGCAGCAGUGAGGAAUAUUGGUCAAUGGACGGAAGUCUGAACCAGCCAAGUCGCGUGAAGGAUGAAGGUUCUAUGGAUUGUAAACUUCUUUUGUCUGAGGGUAAAACAGCGGACGUGUCCGUUCUUGCAAGUAUCAGACGAAUAAGCAUCGGCUAACUCCGUGCCAGCCGCCGCGGUAAUAC